GAAGAAGAAGAAGAAGAAGAAGAAGAAGAAGAAGAAGAAGAAGAAAAAAAAAAACGUGCUGAGCGCUCCGCUACUGUGUGUUCAUGUCCUCUUCUGAGCCUGAAGAUGAAAUAAAACCACAACUGCUGGUAAGUGAUCAAUGGCUGGACGACGUCUCGCGUUCAACUCGCCUUCAACUUGCAAGAACAAGCUUUAUUAAAGUGUAUUUUUUGUGAUUCACAGUAAGCAGGACGCCGUCUUCACAACUCGGAGACAAAUUGCAGGCGCUAUGAACCGGAGCAAGGACUAAUCUCGCCUCAUAAUGAGGCGGUGACCUCCUAUUUGCUCAGGAGCAAUAUAUGCAAGUCCAGUCCGCUUGUAAGACGUAUUAUGAGACGGUACGCAGGAG